GGUUAAGUUAAUAAGGGCGCACGGUGGAUGCCUUGGCACUAGAAGCCGAAGAAGGACGUGACAAACGACGAAAUGCUUUGGGGAGCUGUAAGUAAGCGCUGAUCCAGAGAUGUCCGAAUGGGGGAACCCACUAACUAAUGGUUAGUAUCCAUAACUGUUAAGGUUAUGAGAAGGAAGACGCAGUGAACUGAAACAUCUAAGUAGCUGCAGGAAGAGAAAGCAAACGCGAUUGCCUUAGUAGCGGCGAGCGAAACGGCAGGAGGGCAAACCGAAGUGUUUACACUUCGGGGUUGUAGGACUGCGACGUGGGACUUUAAAAGGAUAGAAGAAUUACCUGGGAAGGUAAGCCAAAGAGAGUAAAAGCCUCGUAUUUAAAAUUCUUUUGAGCCCUAGCAGUAUCCUGAGUACGGCGAGACACGUGAAAUCUCGUUGGAAUCUGGGAGGACCAUCUCCCAACCCUAAAUACUCUCUAGUGACCGAUAGUGAACCAGUACCGUGAGGGAAAGGUGAAAAGCACCCCGGGAGGGGAGUGAAAUAGAACCUGAAACCGUGUGCCUACAACAAGUUCGAGCCCGUUAAUGGGUGAGAGCGUGCCUUUUGUAGAAUGAACCGGCGAGUUACGAUAUGAUGCGAGGUUAAGUUGAAGAGACGGAGCCGUAGGGAAACCGAGUCUUAAUAGGGCGAUUUAGUAUCAUGUUGUAGACCCGAAACCAUGUGACCUACCCAUGAGCAGGUUGAAGGUGAGGUAAAACUCACUGGAGGACCGAACCAGGGCACGUUGAAAAGUGCUUGGAUGACUUGUGGGUAGCGGAGAAAUUCCAAACGAACUUGGAGAUAGCUGGUUCUCUCCGAAAUAGCUUUAGGGCUAGCGUCGAUGUUAAGUCUCUUGGAGGUAGAGCACUGUUUGGGUGAGGGG
rnacentral:rRNA from 1 species